rnacentral:rRNA from 1 species
UACGUAGGGUGCAAGCGUUGUCCGGAAUUAUUGGGCGUAAAGAGCUUGUAGGCGGUUUGUCGCGUCUGCUGUGAAAUUUCGGGGCUCAACCCCGAACUUGCAGUGGGUACGGGCAGACUAGAGUGUGGUAGGGGAGACUGGAAUUCCUGGUGUAGCGGUGAAAUGCGCAGAUAUCAGGAGGAACACCGAUGGCGAAGGCAGGUCUCUGGGCCAUAACUGACGCUGAAAAGCGAAAGCAUGGGGAGCGAACAGG